CUGGCAGGAAGACUGUCACUUAGGAACCUUUUCAGCUCUUACAGAACCAGGAAUACCAAUGCACCAUCAUCUUCAAGUGGACAGGAUUUCUUUCUAAGGAGAAUUAGUGAGGGCAACUUAUCUUCAGCCAGCAUUUUCACAACUGCAUCUUCAAACUACUCCUAUUCCUCAG